rnacentral:rRNA from 1 species
UACGGAGGGUGCAAGCGUUGUCCGGAUUUAUUGGGUUUAAAGGGUGCGUAGGCGGCCUUGUAAGUCAGUGGUGAAAGCCUCCAGCUCAACUGGAGAACUGCCAUUGAUACUGCAAGGCUUGAGUACAGACGAGGUUGGCGGAAUUGAUUGUGUAGCGGUGAAAUGCAUAGAUACAAUCAAGAACUCCGAUUGCGUAGGCAGCUAACUAGGCUGUAACUGACGCUGAGGCACGAAAGCGUGGGGAGCAAACAGG